GUUAAUAUUUUUUUAUAGAUUACCUGGUUGAAUGUGCUGUUAUCAUGUGGCUCGGCCCAGGCACUCUGAGAUCCUCAAAACAAAGGACAGUAAUGGAGGACCGAGACAAAAUUACAUUUUAAAAAGGUUAUUUGGGAAGCGUGAUUAAAUCCAUUGUUUUCAUGGAAGCAUUGAACUUCAUGAACAUAUGAAGAGGUUACUUAAAUGCAGAAAGAUAGUGUUAUUUUUUUUAACCUUACUAUUUAAGUGUGUAAGCCCGUUGUGUAGGAGCCACUAAAAUAUUAUGACUAUACAAAUUCUUUUGUGGUGUUUUUAUGUGUAUUUAAUGUCCAUGUUUUCCAUGACUGUAUGUGGAAUUUUCUGGGUCAGUGGAAAUCUCAAUACUACUGUUUCCAUUUGUAGAAAAGUCAAAUUAUUUUAAAGAGAUGAAAACGGAGAAGUUAUCCAGGACCGGUUGGAGAAAAGCAAAAUCCUCAGAUCCGAUCAGAGACCGAGCCCGGGUGGCAAUCGACUGCGACCGAGCGGGAAGCUUUGUCUACAGUUACUGAUGUUGGGUACGUUGACCAAGUUUGCUGAAGAACCAUCUAAUAAAGUCUUCGUGACGCCUUAUGGU